GCUAGGCACGGUGGUAUGUGCCUGUAAUCCCAGCUACUAGGGAGGCUGAGGCUGGAGGAUCUCUUGAAUUCAGGAGUUCUGGGCUGUAGUGUGCUAUGCCUAUCGGGUGUCCACAAUAAGUUCGGCAUCAAUAUGGCGACCUCCCAGGAGUGGGGGACCACCAGGUUUCUAGCCCAGGUCGGAAACAGAGCAGGUCAAAACUCCCAUGCUGAUCAGUAGUGGGAUCGCGCCUGUGAAUAGCCACUGCACUCCAGCCUGGGCAACAUAGCAAGACCCCAUCUAUU
ensembl:misc_RNA Metazoa_SRP Metazoan signal recognition particle RNA